UUUGUGUUGGGGGAGUGGUGCGCGCAGGCUGGGCGCGUGCUGCCCCUCAACUAACCUGGCACUCGGCAUCCAUCACUGCGUGCAAAACUAAACCGUAUCGCAACCUCGGAUCACUGCUAUUUUAUUACACGAGGUUUCACCAGGACGCUCCGUGUGCUUAAGUGACGCCCGACCUCAGCUCCGUUACGUUCACAGAUCACCCCACAAAAGCCGCUGCGCUUAACAAACCCCUCAGCAGCAAAUCCCUCCGUCUGUAGCGCGUGGCCGCUCCGCCCGGGCAGGCACAGGCGCGCGGAGCCACGUGCGACAGCGAAGGUGCGCAUGCUCACAAGGCGGGGCUGAUGAGAAGGGAGAGAGCGGGAAUAAAGGCACGUGCUGCGGAGGGGUGCUUAUUAGUUCUCGUAAAGGAGGAGUGCGGGUGGCUGCUUAGUUUGUUCGGUGCUGCUGCGCUGCAGAGCGGCGGUUGUGGUCACGAGCGCGCGGUGGUGCGUGCCUGAGGAGGUCUUGGUGAAGGCGAAGUGCUGUGUCUGCGCCUUCUGAGCUCGUUUCUGAGUUAUUCCAUGCUUCACAACGUGCGUGCAGGCUUAAUUGCAAUGAAGGAAUGAGAGAAAAAAUAUAUGGAGAUGUUUCCCAAGAAAUCUCCUGGGCAAGUCAUGCUGAAGAGGACUGUUUCCUGGAUUUUGGUGUAUCUGGAUAUACUGCUGCACCUUGAAACUCCCUGCAGAUCCUUGCCCGUGGAGGGAUGUGAUGACAAUUUGAGGAUAGCAGAAUGACAAUCCUGCCAGCCUCUGCCUUUGUGCCUUUCCUACAUGGGGCUACACGGGCCUUCCCUUCCAAGAAGUCAGAACAUGGCAACUGCUACUGCUUCCCAUGGAUCUUCUCUCUCCUCAAACUGAAGUCAAUGCCUUGUGCAUUUCUUUUAGUUGCUUCCCAACGGACUGUAUCUGCAUAGUGUGAUUUGCUUAUGAUAUGAAAUCAUGGCAAGAAAAAACAAUUAGCAAUUAUUUUGAGAAGAUGAAUACUUCAUAUUUAGUUGCAGCAUUGCAAAAGCUGCUUAGUGUUCUGCUGUCUAAAAUAACCCUGUGUGGGUCUUUUUGCCGUUAUGCUCAGAGUCCUUCUGUCAAACCUACACUGUCGGAAGCUGACAGAGGCUGGACAGGGUCCAUCAUGAGAGGCUCACUUUGGAAGUGACUUCAGUCAACUCAACAGUUCUGUAGCCACAUGAGCAUUGUUUGCACCUCUUUGAUUUUCUCAUGUUUUGUGAGAUUGUGGUCCCAGUGGCAUUUAUGGGUAUAUUAGGAAUACAGAACUAAAGCAGAGGAAAAAAAGGUGACUUUUAGGUCACCAGUUUUACUAUGUCAGAACUGAAAAUAGAGCUAGAAAUACUGUUUUCCAUUUUAACAUGAAAAAUUAAAAUUCUCUUGGCUGAAUCUAUGGUAUGAAGCUUUUCUGCACGUGUUGUUUGCACGUCAUGAAAUAUUUACUUCUCAGACCUAAAUUCAUCUUCUUCUUAACCUGAAAAAAGGCUUCAAAAAUGUGUUACAGAUGUGCUGCUUCCCUGUUGGGCAUGAAAAAUUAACACCGUGUCACCUGAAGAGUUAAAAGGAGGUCAGAUAAGGUAACUUUUAACCAGUAUGUUGCUAUUUUGAGCCAUUCAUAGGAAAUUUAGAAAAGAAAUGAAUUGGAGACAGAGGCUUCAUGAGGAACAGGCAGGUCUGCAAAGUUUCUGCGAAGACUAAAAUUCCUUUGGAAUUUACUGCAUCAAAUGAUUGCCUUCAAGCUUUCAGCUUUAAGUACCAACAUCACUACAUAGGACAUUUCCUGGAGUUUUCACAGUUUUGGGAUAGACAGUAAUAAAAGAACGGGGAACAGUGUGUGUAUGCGUGAGAAGAUUAGGAUGAGGUUAUGCUUUUUGCCAGAAAUUUCAAAAAUAAAAAAGUUUUUACUUUCCUUGCACAACUUACUCAUAAAUAAGCUAACUUAAAGCUUAAUGUGCUUGCUCCAGACUCUUUAUCAAACCCAAGAAAAAUGAUUUCUGUCCUACUCAGUGUUUAUAAAGAAAUAAAAUUGAAAAAUAGCAAGUCAUCUUGCACUUAGAAGCCCUUCUAUAAAUCAUAGAUUAUUAUUAUUAUGAGGGGUUUUUUUUGGUUGAGGACUCCUGCAUAAGUAGAUGUGAGCAAGACAGUGUGUAGCAUCCAGUAAGUGAGAGUAAGCAGUGCAAAACUGACAUUCUCAGGGUAUGGGAGAGUCAGUGUCAUUCCAGCUAACAGUAUAAGUCUUGAAACAACUAAUGAUAACAGCAUUUCCAUUUCAGAUAGCAUGAUAAUAAAAGAAGCAAGGAGAGAAAAAAUGAAAAUCAAUUCAGCAACUGUAUGCAGUGAAGAUAAGACAGCUUUUUUUCACUGCAUUUUUAAAGAAAAUGCAUUUAGGCUAUUAGAAAUGCCUUACUUAUUAAGUGACUAGGUUAGCUUGGUGACUGUUAAGUUCAAUUGGUCUGUCCAAUUUUGAGACACAAUGGUAUUCCCAGGUACAAUAGGUUGCAACUUCAUAACCAGGGAAAAGCAACUGGGUGCAGAUUAUACAUCUUAUUUUUCAUUAUUUAUGCUUUUUUGUGUGUGGUUCUGUGUAACUAUUUGCCUCUAAGGAAGUAAAAUCAGAGUUGUCAACUUAAUGACUGGUAUUUGACUUGCCUUAAGAUUUGUGUUGUAUAUGAUACCAUAUUUUUAAUGCUGUGGAGAGAUGUUUCCAUGCAGAUAAGUUGACUCCCUUCAGGGAAUGCUUUACUGAUUUUUAACUGUGAGCCAUUUCUACUACUUGUUAAUCACAGGUGCAUUUCAUGGUUUACAGAACUCCAUUUUGAUUUUGUGAAGCUUAAGCUUUUUAGAAGUGUCCCUAUUUUCUUUUGAAGACAUUGAGUGCUUGCUGCUACACUGCCUGCUCUGUAGUGCUGUAGAGAGUGUUGGAGUGCAAAUACCUUCUUCCCUCUGUCUUUUAGUCUGGCUGGAUGGAUUUGCUGUGCCUCUGGUGCAUCAGAAACUUUCCCUAUAGGCUUUGAGCAAAGAGGGACUUGAUUGUCUUUGUUAUGUAAAUGAUUGGGAAAUAAUUGUUUUGUGUAGCCAAAACCCAGAACACUAGAGGGAAUUGUUUUCAUUGAGGUGUAUUUUGACUCCAGUCCCCAAAUCCCUUUAAAAAAAACAAACAAACAAAACCCAGUGAAGUCAACAUAAAUAUUACUGAGAUAAGGAAAAGUUCUUAAUGAUGGAGACUCAGAAGGCCAGACUUCCCGCAGCGGUGUGAUCGCUGUUAUCAGUCUGUAGCUGUAGAUACUUCCUUGAACCAUGAAUCUGUGGGUUCAUGUCAACCUGAUCUUUGCAAAGCUUUCUGUUGUAGUCCUGAGACUGUUGUAGUUGUCCCCUGGGAAAACUCUACCUACAGCCCGACAGGAUUCUCUUGAUUGGUCUACAGGCUCUUGGCACUACACCCUUUGUAGAUAUUGCUUUUGUAAUUCACCUGUGUUUAUGCAGGACGUUAACUGUCAUCAGCUAUGCUCCUUAGACCACUGCUGGUAUUUCUAAGGUCAAGAAACACUGUAAAGAAAACACUCUAGGACUUCCUUAGACUUAGUGAAAGAAGAGCACAGCAAAAGAUGGAAACAGCAUACAGCACAGAGACAGAGAUCAUCACAUGGAAACUCUGAAAGUUUCUGAAAGUACUCUCCAAUUUGCUAAUUCAGAUAAAAUCAUCUGGAUUAACUCAAACUGUGAAUUGUAGUAACGUAAAGGAUUUUGUCUGAACAAAUUAAGAAGCAUUGAAGGACUCAACUGGCAGAUCUGUAGACGUUUUUGCCUUCAGCAAAUGAUAGAGUGGAACACAAUAACCAUUCUCUUCUACUGUGGAAUAGCUGGGUUCAGCAGAAAGCUGUUGUAAUCUUAAAUUCCUCUUUUUUCAGAGAAUAAAUCUGUCUUUUUCACAACUGGGUCACUUGGAGCCAAACAGCAUUGUUCAAGAAUUCAAUUAAAUUAUUAAUUUAGAGUAAUCAGGUAAUUAGAAAUCUAAGUUAUUGAACAGUGCUGGGGAAACUUACUUUGCCAUGUUCCUUUCGUUUGAAGUAGGGUACUCUGCAGUAUUUGUGAAGACAUUUUGAUUCUGGCCUUUUCUCACUAUUCCUGAGGCUUAACAGAGAGAUUCUAGUUGUUAAUUCUGCUUUGAAGCACAAACAGGUAGGCUGCAAUGUCAGAUUUCAUUUUACCCUCUGAGUCUGUCACCGAACAACUCAGCAUCCCUGAAUUAUUCACAACCCAGAGUACCAGCAUGUGUCAAAAUCAGUAAUCAUCAGGCAAGCAAGAAAGAGAUCUGGGCUGCUGUUGGCAGUUUUAUACUGACAAGAGAGUCUGAGUUUGAAAAAUAAGACAUUCUUGCUACUUAAUGAUCAGAACAAUUCAACAAAGUCUUGAGACAGUGACUUGACCAUCUAGGCAUUUCUAGAUUCCUCCAUUUAUUGCAUUAAAAAAGAAAAACAACGGAAAAACAAUCAUAGCUUUGGCUUUGGUCUCAAUUGUACAAUUGUAGAUGCAAAAUGAUUUCAUUGAUUCUGUUAGAGUACUUCCAGCUUUUAUUAAUUUCAGCAAAAGUUCUGAUUCUAGCACCUUCCAGUACUGUGGACAAUUAUUUGAAAUCCUAAAGGCUAUAGCUUGGGUGAUUGUCAAGGUACAUUGCAUGGCUUCUAUAGCAAGCCCCAGUAAGAUAGCCUAAAUGAAUUCCACCGUAGAUUUUAGUUCUCUGGUAGAGUCUGUUGUGGCUCAUUGGGAAACAAUGUAAUGACAAGUAAUUUAGGUUAGUGAUGUUCUUGAAAAAGCAUUUGCUUUGUGCCUUAAAAUUGACGUGGUGGAAAAGAAGUUUGAAAUCAGGAAUGUCAGUUAAACUGAGAAGACAGAAAAUAGAAAGCCUACUAAGACAAUUUCUGAUCAUGGACAUCAACCAGUCUUUGAGUUCAUAGUCUGCGAAUUGUUUACACUAAGCAGAGAGGUAAUAUUUGUAAAUUGUAUGUCUUUUACAUAAGUAAAACUUAUAAUAAGUAAAACUUAUAACUUAAAUAACUGUAGUGGAAGCUGUAGUUAGGUAAUGAAGUUGAUUGUACCUGGAGAUCUCAUUUGUAACGUUGUGCUGGAGAUGUUUGGAUUUAUUUCAUUCCCAAAUGAUCCUUGUUCCCUUAAACUGGAUAAUAUGGCUCCUACUUUCCAAAUAAGCUUUCUCUGAGAGGGCCAUGUGUAGUGUUUCUGCAAAGAGCAUAUGAACUUUGUGUGUGCUUUCUCUCCACUAGGUUCAGGAAACCACAGUGGAUAUUCUUUACUGCAGUGGUUGACCUUGUAAAGACUAGGAGUGUCAGUAUUUCUUUUUCUGGUUUCAGUCUCUCUGGAAUAAUGAGGAAUGAAUGGGAAAGAAGAAUGAAAAGUCUGAGAAAUAACAAAGCCCAGACUAACCAAAGAAACACUUCCUGAGUUAUAUUUCUCCAAGAAGGACAGGAAAAAGAGAGAAAUCAAUAGCUGUAAUUUUUAAAAAAUUGAGUGAUUCCUGGGCUUUGACAGGGUCAUAAAAGUAGAUAGCAAUGGAGAAAAAGAGACUGGGAACUUUCAUAUCCCUUCAACAGGCUGGUGAGAGGAGCUAUUACAUAAGAGAAUUCUCUUUUACCAUUUGUUGGCUGCAUGUUAUUUGCCCCUGCAUGCUUACUCUCUUUUCUUGAACACUUUUCCAACUAUCUAAAUAGAUAUAAUAAGGAAGAAUUUCCUUUCUCAACUAACCAAGUUUUGUUGUUUGUAAACUGUGAUGUUAAAUUCCUUCUGAUAUUUUUCAGGCUUGACUUGCUCUUCUUUGAGUCCCAAGUCAGUGCUCCUCUUCAUCUUCUUCUUCCCCUGCAUUUAUGUAGAGUACUUCAGAACUUCUUUAUCUGAUGUGAACUGGGAUGGGGGCUAAAAUAUUAGAUUCUCAUUUUUUCUCAUUUCAGAUCAUGCUUAUAUUGAAAUUUUCUUUUCCUACCUAUGCAAGGCAUUGUUGAUGUUUCCAGUGCACAUCGCGUUUUCAUUCCCUGUCAUCCAAGCAUACCGAAGUGGUGAAUAUGAUGUGCUGUAAAAGAAGAGAUCUUAGAGGUUGAAAGGUUUAAAAAAGGUUUAGAAAAAGAAAUGCUGAUGGGAAAGGAAUGAAGUACGUAAAAACUGAGGCUAAAACAUAUCAGAAGCAAGUAAUAGGGAAGCUACUUUGAGUGAAGAGAGUGGAAUUCAAUUGUGUAAUAUGACAGCAUUGAGGAACUCUACAGUUUAUUGCUUACUCUGACUGAACUCAAAGGACUUGGUCUAAUUUAAGAGCUAAUGAUUAAAGAAGUCUGGACCUUAUUGGGCAGCUGAAAUUAUGGUGACUACUGCUACUGAUAAUGAAAUAAACUUUUAUUAGGGCCUCAGAAUUCAGUUCUGUGUUUUACUGAGCUUGUGCUCUUCAGCAUUGUUUGUAUAAGUGUGAAAAUGCCUGUUGGCAAACCUUGGGUAUUAAGGCAGCAUGGAUAGUUUGCAAGGAUGGAGGAGGAAUGUUUGAGGCAAGGGAUGCACAGUUAGACACUGCACAGUACAGUCACUCUUUCCUAACAGGUCAGUCACAACUAUGAAAGUCCAAGUAAGAAAGUAUGAAUAGGGUGGCCUACACCAUUAAACCAUCCCAUAGCCACAUCGUGAGGGACAGAGCGAACGCUCAUUGGAGUGUUUGGGUAAGUCAUAGUGAGUGACAAACCAGUUGCAGUCAGGACGCAGUAUGCAAUGUAGAUUGCUCUAGUACAGUAGGUAUGUUUUCUUUCCCUAUUUGUUUCUGUACUUCUCAGGUGUGCUGUUUUUUAAAGAAAGGGAAAGAUAAUUUGCCCAGAUUAUUUAUUUGUAAUGACCUUGGUAUGUUAGAGGCUGGGCUUUGUCACCUGUAAUCAAGCUAAUGAUCACUUUGCAGAUAGUUUUUCUGACAUUGGUUAGAAGUAAUCAUGAAGUAAAAUGCUUCACAAUGCAAGUGAAGGGGACAGGUGGACAGGAAUCAACCCUUCAGGACACUGUCAGAAAAUAGAGCAAGACUAGAAAAUAAAUGCUGUACACACAUUCUAAAGCAUCGUUUUCUACAGAGUUGAGGGAGGUAAAUUUCAUGCUUCUCUUUAUCUUCCAAUUAUUUUUUUUUUAUUGCCAAGGGAUGCAGUAAAAUGUAUUAAAGUCCAAGUUCGCACAGUUUUUGUUAUCAUUUUGCUUUCACUGUUUACCUCCUCUCAAAAUCUUCAGUUUUGGAACAAAUUUCCAGUGGCAAUAGGAAUUGUAAAUUUCCUAGUUUGAUUCUUUUUUUUUUUUUUUUCAUUUCCUUAAAUGCAAAAAAAUUCUUGAAAAAUGUCAUUUGGGAUAGAAAGAUAUAUUUUAUUCAGAAAACAAAAACUUCAUUUUGAAGGCUUUAUGGAUCCUGCUAAUCCACUUAAGGUAUACGAAUGUGAUAAAGGGUUGGGGAGUUGGGGGAAGGCAAACAUUCCCCAGUCAAUCAAUGACUCUCCUGCAAUGACAGUUUAUAACAGUGCAAGUGUCUAAUGUGUCCUCCUUGUCAUAAGCAGAAUUACUACAACAAAAAGGUACUGAAUGCUUUCUAAGUGACUCUUAAGUUUAGUGACACAAUUAUUCAAAGUAAUGGGAAGGUAAAGGGCUUCAUGUCUUGGGGCUGUUAAUAUAGGAUGCCAUCUUUUAUCUGUAGUAAAUAUAAUACCUAGUGUAAAGGAUUAAAGUAGGGAGCUGUAGUGCUAACUAUAUUUCUGCUGUUAGAAAUGAUUAGUGUUACAGUCCAGUGGCUCCUGCAGUCUGUGCUUGUACUAAUGCCAGUAUUCCUGAGCUGUAUGCAUUAUGAGCUCAAUAGUUUUUGUUGUCUGUUGGUUUCUGGUGUAUAGAUUAAGGCAUUCUACCUAUAGGAACAUUUUUCGAGAAAACAUGAGGCAUUCAAAGAAAUCUUAACAAAAAAAAAAAAAAAAAAA